rnacentral:misc_RNA from 1 species
GAUGAAGAACGUAGCGAAAUGCGAUAAGUAAUGUGAAUUGCAGAAUUCAGUGAAUCAUCGAAUCUUUGAACGCACAUUGCGCCCUCUGGUAUUCCGAGGGGCAUGCCUGUUCGAGCGUCAUUAUAACCCCUCAAGCUCAGCUUGGUGUUGGGGCCUGCUGCACUGGCAGCCCUUAAAAUCAGUGGCGGCGCCAUCUGGCUCUAAGCGUAGUAAUUCUUCUCGCUAUGGAGUCCUGGUGGAUGCUUGCCAUCAACCCCCAAUUUUUCUAUGGUUGACCUCGGAUCAGGUAGGGAUACCCGCUGAACUUAAGCAUAUCAAUAAGCGGAGGA